AACGAACGCUGGCGGCAGGCUUAACACAUGCAAGUCGAGCGACCCGAAAGGGGAGCGGCAGACGGGUGAGUAACGCGUGGGAAUGUGCCCUUUGGGCUGGAAUAACUCAGGGAAACUAGAGCUAAUACCGGAUAAGCCCUUCGGGGGAAAGAUUUAUUGCAAUUGGAGCAGCCCGCGUCAGAUUAGCUAGUUGGGGAGGUAAAAGCUCACCAAGGCGGUGAUCUGUAGCUGGUCUGAGAGGACGACCCGCCACACUGGGACGGAGACACGGCCCAGACUCCUACGGGAGGCAGCAGUGGGGAAUAUUGGACAAUGGGGGCAACCCUGAUCCAGCCAUGCCGCGUGAGUGAUGAAGGCCUUAGGGUUGUAAAGCUCUUUUACUCGGGAAGAUAAUGACUGUACCGAGAGAAUAAGCCCCGGCUAACUUCGUGCCAGCAGCCGCAGUAA
rnacentral:rRNA from 1 species